GGAGAGAGUUGUCUGAUCUGGGUUGCUAAGCUUAUGCGUUGGCCGUUAAUUCGGUCUUCGUUGAGUGGUGCUGCCGUGGAUGCGCUGGUAGUGUCGGUGAUGGUCGCUGGACUGGUUAGUGUUGCCCACUUCGGUGGUGUCUUGCUUCUGGUUAGGCGUCUUGUUGCUGAUGCUGAGCUUCACCUAGUGAAGUACCGGUGUUAUAGACGACCACCUCUCCGGCCCGUCUUGAAACACGGACCGAGGAGUGUAACUAGUACGCGAGUCAGAGAGUGGUAAACUCAAUGGCGCAAUUAACGUGAAGGUUGUUCAUCAGCCUGACAUGGGAUCCGUUUCUUCGGAAGCGGCGCACCAUGGCCCUGUCUUGGAAGCUUGCUUCUGGGCAGAGGAAGAGCGUACUGGUUGCGACCCGAAAGAUGGUGAACU
rnacentral:rRNA from 1 species